GACGAACCGUGCGAACGUUAUUCGGAAUCACUGGGCUUAAAGCGCGUGUAGGCGGGUCGGCACGUCGGGAGCUGAAAUCCCCCGGCUCAACCGGGGGAAGGGGCGCCGAUACGACCGGCCUGGAGGGACGUAGGGGGGGCUGGAACUUCCGGUGGAGCGGUGAAAUGCGUUGAGAUCGGAAGGAACGCCCGUGGCGAAAGCGAGCCCCUGGACGUGCUACUGACGGCUGAGACGCGAAAGCCAGGG
rnacentral:rRNA from 1 species